rnacentral:rRNA from 1 species
UGAUGUGGUUUAAUUCGAUGCAACGACGAAAACCUUACCCACCUUUGACAUGUACGGAAGCCUUAGAGAUAGAGGCGUGCUCGAAAGAGAGCCGUAACACAGGUGCUGCAUGGCUGUCGUCAGCUCGUGUCGUGAGAUGUUGGGUUAAGUCCGCAACGAGCGCAACCCUUGUCAUUAGUUGCUACAUUCAGUUGGGCACUCUAAUGAGACUGCCGGUGACAAGCCGGAGGAAGGUGGGGAUGACGUCAAGUCCUCAUGGCCCUUAUAGGUGGGGCUACACACGUCAUACAAUGGCUGGUACAAAGGGUUGCCAACCCGCGAGGGGGAGCUAAUUCCAUAAAGCCAGUCGUAGUCCGGAUCGUAGUCUGCAACUCGACUACGUGAAGUCGGAAUCGCGAGUAAUCGUGGAUCAGAAUGUCACGGUGAAUACGUUCCCGGGUCUU